UAGGGAGCGAGCGUUGUCCGGAAUUACUGGGUGUAAAGGGAGCGUAGGCGGGACGGCAAGUCAGAUGUGAAAUAUAUGGGCUCAACCUGUAGACUGCAUUUGAAACUGCUGUUCUUGAGUGAAGUAGAGGUAAGCGGAAUUCCUAGUGUAGCGGUGAAAUGCGUAGAUAUUAGGAGGAACAUCGGUGGCGAAGGCGGCUUACUGGGCUUUUACUGACGCUGAGGCUCGAAAGCGUGGGGAGCAAA
rnacentral:rRNA from 1 species